CAAUGAUUUGUAGAGUGUCCAAUGGAGGUUCUUCCAUUUACCAAUUUGUGAUCCCAGCCUUUUCUUUCCUGAUUAAAAAGAAAAACAUCUUCUAAUUGCCUUUUCUGAACUUAUCUUUGAGAUAACUUGCAUCCAACAGUUAACUGCUCCAAGAUUAGGCAAUCAAAACUGAAUUUAUGACUAUGCAUGUAUGAAAAACUGUUAAUAUCUGCAGUUUGACUAAUCUCUGGAUCGGCUGCAGCUUGGAGAUGAGAUUCUUUGUCUUUGGAGAUGGUUAUACGUUUUAUAGGUUAUAUUCUCCAGGAAGCGAUGUUGUCUGGGUGUUGCGGAUGAAAGAAGACUUGGACAUGGGCGUGUUGAGAUUAAUCCAUGUGUGUAUCUUCUACGAGCUGCAGAAGGUCAGGUCUUGCAGUCAACUAUUCAGAUUAUUGACUGAGGGCGAUAUUUUUAGGCCUACGGAAUCUGCAAAGGAUGUGCCAAACCAAGAUUAAUUAUGAUUUUUGUAAAUUGCAUGGGUUUACUUAUUUACCUGCUCCUUUGAUGAUUUUGAUUCAUUUGUGGAAAUUUGAGAGCUUUCUUCGAAUGUCCGGAAAAAUGGUUCAAGGCUUGUUUGGCUGAAACUGUAGAUUAGCAAGACUAACGUGUGUUGAGCAUGUCAGCCUAUGUGUGGGUAGGAGUGAAACUGUAGAUUAUGCUAGAGACGAGUUUCUAAAAGAAGUCCUGGAGACGAUGGCGCUGCUGCUGCUGCUCCUCUUGCAAUGGGCAAACUGGGGGCUGCAGUUCUAGGACUUCAAGGAGGAAAGGAAGACAUGGUUACUUCUUAAAGAGGCUUUCAUCUAAAGAGAAGCACAUCGAUGAAGAAAAACGAUGUGGUCAAAGGCAAUCUGUUUCAGAAGCAUUGAGCAGUCGCAUGACAAGUACAAGGAACAUCAUCAGUACAGCAGGGAGGUUGAAACAAGAAGUUGAGGUGAUCAAUCAAGACAAUAAAUUGUAG